GAUGAACGCUGGCGGCGUGCCUAAUACAUGCAAGUCGAGCGAACAGACGAGGAGCUUGCUCCUCUGACGUUAGCGGCGGACGGGUGAGUAACACGUGGAUAACCUACCUAUAAGACUGGGAUAACUUCGGGAAACCGGAGCUAAUACCGGAUAAUAUAUUGAACCGCAUGGUUCAAUAGUGAAAGACGGUUUUGCUGUCACUUAUAGAUGGAUCCGCGCCGCAUUAGCUAGUUGGUAAGGUAACGGCUUACCAAGGCAACGAUGCGUAGCCGACCUGAGAGGGUGAUCGGCCACACUGGAACUGAGACACGGUCCAGACUCCUACGGGAGGCAGCAGUAGGGAAUCUUCCGCAAAGGGCGAAAGCCUGACGGAGCAACGCCGCGUGAGUGAUGAAGGUCUUCGGAUCGUAAAACUCUGUUAUUAGGGAAGAACAAAUGUGUAAGUAACUAUGCACGUCUUGACGGUACCUAAUCAGAAAGCCAAGGCUAACUACGUG
rnacentral:rRNA from 1 species